UUCCGGUUGAUCCCGCCGGACCUGACUGCUAUCGGAUUGAUACUAAGCCAUGCGAGUCUUUGUAGUAAUACAAGGCAUACGGCUCAGUAACGCGUAGUCAACCUACCCUAUGGACAAGAAUAAUCUCGGGAAACUGAGCAUAAUUCUUGAUAGAUCAUAAUGCCUGGAAUGGUUUAUGGUUAAAAUGAUUCGUCGCCAUAGGAUGGGACUGCGGCCUAUCAGCUUGUUGGUGAGGUAAUGGCCCACCAAGGCGAUUACAGGUACGGGCUCUGAGAGGAGAAGCCCGGAGAUGGGUACUGAGACAAGGACCCAGGCCCUAUGGGGCGCAGCAGGCGAGAAAACUUUGCAAUGUGCGAAAGCACGACAAGGUUAAUCCGAGUGAUUUCUGCUAAAGAAAUCUUUUGCAAGUCAUAAAACCACUAGUGAAUAAGGGGUGGGCAAGUUCUGGUGUCAGCCGCCGCGGUAAAACCAGCACCUCAAGUGGUCAGGAGGAUUAUUGGGCCUAAAGCAUCCGUAGCCGGCUCUGUAAGUUUUCGGUUAAAUCCAUGUGCUCAACGCAUGGGCUGCCGAAAAUACUGCAUAGCUAGGGAGUGGGAGAGGUAGACGGUACUCGGUAGGAAGGGGUAAAAUCCUUUGAUCUAUCGAUGACCACCUGUGGCGAAGGCGGUCUACCAGAACACGUUCGACGGUGAGGGAUGAAAGCUGGGGGAGCAAACCGGAUUAGAUACCCGGGUAGUCCCAGCUGUAAACGAUGCAGACUCGAUGAUGCAUUGGCAUAUAGCCAGUGCAGUGUCGCAGGGAAGCCGUUAAGUCUGCCGCCUGGGAAGUACGUACGCAAGUAUGAAACUUAAAGGAAUUGGCGGGGGAGCACCACAAGGGGUGAAGCCUGCGGUUCAAUUGGAUUCAACGCCGG
rnacentral:rRNA from 1 species